rnacentral:rRNA from 1 species
CUGGUUGAUCCUGCCAGUAGUCAUAUGCUUGUCUCAAAGAUUAAGCCACAUGUCUAAGUAUAAACUGCUUUAUACUGUGAAACUGCGAAUGGCUCAUUAAAUCAGUUAUAGUUUAUUUGAUGGUACUUACUUACUCGGAUACCCGUAGUAAUUCUAGAGCUAAUACGUGCGUACAUCCCGACUUCUGGAAGGGACGUAUUUAUUAGAUAAAAGGCCGACCGGGCUUGCCCGACUCGCGGUGACUCAUGAUAACUUCACGAAUCGCAUGGCCUUGCGCCGGCGAUGUUUCAUUCAAAUUUCUGCCCUAUCAACUUUUGAUGGUAGGAUAGAGGCCUACCAUGGUGGUAACGGGUGACGGAGAAUUAGGGUUCGAUUCCGGAGAGGGAGCCUGAGAAACGGCUACCACAUCCAAGGAAGGCAGCAGGCGCGCAAAUUACCCAAUCCUGAUACAGGGAGGUAGUGACAAUAAAUAACAAUACCGGGCCUUUGGUCUGGUAAUUGGAAUGAGUACAACCUAAACACCUUAACGAGGAUCAAUUGGAGGGCAAGUCUGGU